rnacentral:rRNA from 1 species
GACGAACGCUGGCGGCGCGCCUAACACAUGCAAGUCGAACGGAGCUUAGAGAGCUUGCUUUUUAAGCUUAGUGGCGAACGGGUGAGUAACGCGUGAGUAACCUGCCCUAGAGUGGUGUGAGAUGGACCCGCGUCUGAUUAGCCAGUUGGCGGGGUAACGGCCCACCAAAGCGACGAUCAGUAGCCGGCCUGAGAGGGUGAACGGCCACAUUGGGACUGAGACACGGCCCAAACUCCUACGGGAGGCAGCAGUGGGGAAUAUUGCACAAUGGGCGCAGGCCUGAUGCAGCGACGCCGCGUGAAGGAUGAAGUAUUUCGGUAUGUAAACUUCUAUCAGCAGGGAAGAAAAUGACGGUACCUGACUAAGAAGCCCCGGCUAACUACGUG